CUACGUGCCAGCAGCCGCGGUAAUACGGAAGGUCCAGGCGUUAUCCGGAUUUAUUGGGUUUAAAGGGAGCGUAGGCGGAUUGUUAAGUCAGCGGUUAAAGGGUGUGGCUCAACCAUGCAUUGCCGUUGAAACUGGCGAUCUUGAGUGCAGACAGGGAUGCCGGAAUUCGUGGUGUAGCGGUGAAAUGCUUAGAUAUCACGAAGAACUCCGAUCGCGAAGGCAGCUUACUAAGGUACAACUGACGCUGAAGCACGAAAGCGUGGGUAUCAAACAGGAUUAGAUACCCUGGUAGUCCACGCAGUAAACGAUGAUAACUGGGCGUAUGCGAUAUACAGUAUGCUCCUAAGCGAAAGCGUUAAGUUAUCCACCUGGGGAGUACGCCGGCAACGGUGAAACUCAAAGGAAUUGACGGGGGCCCGCACAAGCGGUGGAGCAUGUGGUUUAAUUCGACGCAACGCGAGGAACCUUACCAGCGUUUGACA
rnacentral:rRNA from 1 species